CUGGGGAGUACGAGCGCAAGCUUAAAACUCAAAGGAAUUGACGGGGACCUGCACAAGCAGUGGAGCGUGUGGUUUAAUUCGAUACAAAACGAAAAACCUCACCAGGGUUUGACAUGCAACUGCAAAGUCCGAGAAAUCGGACCUCCUUCGAGGGUGUUGCACAGAUGCUGCAUGGCUGUCAUCAGUUCGUGGCGUGAGCUGUUUCCUUAAGUGGAUAAACGAACGCAACCCGCAUCGUAUGUUAAAUAUUCAUACGAAACAGUCCGCCUUUUGGCGGAAGGAAGGCGCGGAUGAUGUCAAGUCCGCACGGCUCUUACACCCUGGGCUACACACACACUACAAUGGGUGAGACAACGAGCUACUACCUGGUAACAGGAAGUUAAUCUCUUAAACUCAUCCUCAGUUCAGAUUGAGGUCUGCAAUUUGACCUCAUGAAGACGGAAUUGCUAGUAAUCGCGGAUCAGCAUGCCGCGGUGAAUACGUUCUCAGGUCUUGUACACACCGCCCGUCAAGGCAGGAAAGUUGGGGGCACCUGAAAUACACGAUUGUGGACUAAGGUGAAACCAGCAAUCAGGCUUAAGUCGUAACAAGGUAUCCCUAGCCGAAGCUGGGGAUGGAUCACCUCCUUU
rnacentral:ncRNA from 1 species